rnacentral:rRNA from 1 species
GACAGAGGGUGCAAACGUUGUUCGGAAUUACUGGGCGUAAAGCGCGUGUAGGCGGUCGUGCAAGUCGGGUGUGAAAGCCCGGGGCUCAACCCCGGAAGUGCAUUCGAUACUGCAUGGCUAGAGUACCGGAGAGGGUGGUGGAACUCUGGGUGUAGAGGUGAAAUUCGUAGAUAUCCAGAAGAACACCGGUGGCGAAGGCGGCCACCUGGACGGAUACUGACGCUGAGACGCGAAAGCGUGGGGAGCAAACAGGAUUAGAUACCCUGGUAGUCCACGCCGUAAACGAUGGGUGCUAGGUGUCACGGGUAUUGACCCCUGUGGUGCCGAAGCUAACGCAUUAAGCACCCCGCCUGGGAAGUACGGCCGCAAGGCUAAA